rnacentral:rRNA from 1 species
UACGGAAGGCAGCAGUGGGGAAUAUUGGACAAUGGGCGAAAGCCUGAUCCAGCCAUGCCGCAUGAGUGAAGAAGGCCUUCGGGUUGUAAAGCUCUUUUAGUGAGAAAGAUAAUGACGGUACUCACAGAAGAAAUCCUGGCUAACUCCGUGCCAGCAGCCGCGGUAAUACGGAGAGGGCUAGCGUUAUUCGGAAUUAUUGGGCGUAAAGAGCGCGUAGGCUGAUUAGUAAGUUAAAAGUGAAAUCCCAAAGCUUAACUUUGGAAUUGCUUUUUAAAACUGCUAGUCUAGAGAUUUGAAAGAGGAUAGAGGAAUUCCUAGUGUAGAGGUGAAAUUCGUAAAUAUUAGGAGGAACACCAGUGGCGAAGGCGUCUAUCUGGUUCAAAUCUGACGCUGAGGCGCGAAGGGCGUGGGGAGCAAACAGGGAUUUAGAUACC